GACGAACGCUGGCGGCGUGGAUUAGGCAUGCAAGUCGAACGGUAUCAUCCUUUCGGGGGUGAGAGAGUGGUGAACUGGUGAGUAACACGUAGGUUAUCUACCCUCAAGACGGGGACAACCCAGGGAAACUUGGGCUAAUACCGGAUGUGAGCAACUUUUAGUUGUUUGAAAGGUGGCGUAAGCUGUCGCUUGGGGAUGAGCCUGCGUCCUAUUAGUUAGUUGGUGAGGUAACGGCUCACCUAGGCAAUGAUAGGUAGGCGGCCUUAACGGGUGGUCGCCCACACUGGGAUUGAGAUACGGCCCAGACUCCUACGGGAGGCAGCAGUCGAGAAUAGUCUACAAUGGUCGGAAGACUGAUAGUGCGACGCCGCGUGAACGAUGAAUCCCUUCGGGGUGUAAAGUUCUUUUAUAUGUGAGCAGUGCUUCUUAUAUUAACAGUAUGGGGAGAGAGAUAUUAGCAUAUGAAUAAGCAACGGCUAACUCGUGCCAGCAGCCGCGGUAAAA
rnacentral:rRNA from 1 species